UACGUAGGGGGGCAAGCGUUGUCCGGAUUUAUUGGGCGUAAAGAGCGUGUAGGCGGCCAAGCAGGUCCGCUGUGAAAACUCGAGGCUCAACCUCGAGACGUCGGUGGAAACCGUUUGGCUAGAGUCCGGAAGAGGAGAGUGGAAUUCCCCGGUGUAGCGGUGAAAAUGCGCAGAUAUCGGGAAGAACACCCGUGGCGAAGGCGGCUCUCUGGAACGCAACUGACGCUGAGACGCGAAAGCGUGGGGAGCAAACAGG
rnacentral:rRNA from 1 species